rnacentral:rRNA from 1 species
AACGAACGCUGGCGGCAGGCUUAACACAUGCAAGUCGAGCGCCCCGCAAGGGGAGCGGCAGACGGGUGGGUAACGCGGGGAAACGUACCGUUUGGUUCGGAACAACUCCGGGAAACUGGAGCUAAUACCGGAUAAGGCCUAGCGGGGAAAGAUUUAUCGCCGAAAGUUCGGUGCGCGUGUGAUUAGCUAGUUGGUGAGGUAACGGCUCACCAAGGGGACGGUCAGUAGCUGGUCUGAGAGGAUGAUCAGGCACACUGGGACUGAGACACGGCCCAGACUCCUACGGGAGGCAGCAGUGGGGAAUAUUGGACAAUGGGCGCAAGCCUGAUCCAGCCAUGCCGCGUGAGUGAUGAAGGCCUUAGGGUUGUAAAGCUCUUUUGUCCGGGAAGAUAAUGACUGUACCGGAAGAAUAAGCCCCGGCUAACUUCGUG